UACGUAGGGAGCAAGCGUUGUCCGGAAUCAUUGGGCGUAAAGCGCGCGUAGGCGGCCCGAUAAGUCCGCUGUGAAAGUCAACGGCUCAACUGUUGGAUGCCGGUGGAUACUGUCGGGCUAGAGUACGGAAGAGGCAAGUGGAAUUCCUGGUGUAGCGGUGGAAUGCGCAGAUAUCAGGAGGAACACCUAUAGCGAAGGCAGCUUGCUGGGACGUUACUGACGCUAAGGCGCGAAAGCGUGGGAGCGAACAGG
rnacentral:rRNA from 1 species